rnacentral:rRNA from 1 species
GAUGAACGCUCGCUACAGGCUUAACACAUGCAAGUCGAGGGGAAACGCCAUCGCAAGCUUGCUUUUGAUGGGCGUCGACCGGCGCACGGGUGAGUAACGCGUAUCCAACCUGCCCAUCACUUGGGAAUAACCUUGCGAAAGUAAGACUAAUACCCAAUGAUAUCCCACGAAGGCAUCGGAAUGGGAUUAAAGAUUUAUCGGUGAUGGAUGGGGAUGCGUCUGAUUAGCUUGUUGGCGGGGUAACGGCCCACCAAGGCAACGAUCAGUAGGGGUUCUGAGAGGAAGGUCCCCCACAUUGGAACUGAGACACGGUCCAAACUCCUACGGGAGGCAGCAGUGAGGAAUAUUGGUCAAUGGGCGAGAGCCUGAACCAGCCAAGUAGCGUGCAGGAAGACGGCCCUAUGGGUUGUAAACUGCUUUUAUAAGGGAAUAAAGUGGGUCACGUGUGACUUUUUGCAUGUACCUUAUGAAUAAGGACCGGCUAAUUCCGUG